rnacentral:rRNA from 1 species
GAGUUUGAUCCUGGCUCAGGAUGAACGCUGGCGGCGUGCUUAACACAUGCAAGUCGAACGGGAAAUAUUUCAUUGAGACUUCGGUGGAUUUGAUCUAUUUCUAGUGGCGGACGGGUGAGUAACGCGUGGGUAACCUGCCUUAUACAGGGGGAUAACAGUCAGAAAUGGCUGCUAAUACCGCAUAAGCGCACAGAGCUGCAUGGCUCAAUGUGAAAAGCUCCGGUGGUAUAAGAUGGACCCGCGUUGGAUUAGCUGGUUGGCAGGGUAACGGCCUACCAAGGCAACGAUCAGUAGCCGGUCUGAGAGGAUGAACGGCCACAUUGGAACUGAGACACGGUCCAAACUCCUACGGGAGGCAGCAGUGGGGAAUAUUGCACAAUGGGGGAAACCCUGAUGCAGCAACGCCGCGUGAUUGAAGAAGUAUUUCGGUAUGUAAAGCUCUAUCAGCAGGGAAGAUAAUGACGGUACCUGACUAAGAAGCUCCGGCUAAAUACGUGCCAGCAGCCGCGGUAAUAC